UUAUUAUAUUUUUUGCAAAAA
rnacentral:piRNA from 1 species